AUACGGAGGGGGCAAGCGUUGUUCGGAAUUACUGGGCGUAAAGCGCGCGUAGGCGGGCUGGUUAGUUGGGGGCGGAAUCCCAGGGCUUAACCCUGGAACUGCCUCCAAUACUGCCAGUCUAGAGUUCGAGAGAGGUGAGUGGAAUUCCUAGUGUAGAGGUGAAAUUCGUAGAUAUUAGGAAGAACACCAGUGGCGAAGGCGGCUCACUGGCUCGAUACUGACGCUGAGGUGCGAAAGCGUGGGGAGCAAACAGGAUUAGAAACCCCAGUAGUCC
rnacentral:rRNA from 1 species